UACGGGGGGGAGCAAGCGUUGUUCGGAUUUACUGGGCGUAAAGGGCGCGUAGGCGGCCACCGCAAGUCAGUUGUGAAAUCUCUGGGCUUAACCCAGAACGGUCAGCUGAUACUGCGGGGCUAGAGUGCAGAAGGGGCAACUGGAAUUCUCGGUGUAGCGGUGAAAUGCGUAGAUAUCGAGAGGAACACCUGCGGCGAAGGCGGGUUGCUGGGCUGACACUGACGCUGACAGCGCGAAAGCGUGGGGAGCGAACAGG
rnacentral:rRNA from 1 species